UACAGAGGCCUCGAGCGUUAGGCGGAAUCACUGGGCUUAAAGCGUGUGUAGGCGGACCCCUAAGUACCUUGUGAAAUCCCACGGCUCACCCGUGGAACGGCUGGGUAUACUGGUUGUCUUGAGCCAGCUAGGGGCGAGCGGAACAGACGGUGGAGCGGUGAAAUGCGUAGAUAUCGUCUGGAACGCCGAAGGUGAAAACAGCUCGCUGGGGCUGCGCUGACGCUGAGACACGAAAGCCAGGGGAGCGAACGGG
rnacentral:rRNA from 1 species